AAGGUAGCGAAAUUCCUUGUCGGGUAAGUUCCGACCUGCACGAAUGGCGUAACGACUUCCCCACUGUCUCCAACAGAGACUCAGCGAAAUUGAAUUCUCCGUGAAGAUGCGGAGUACCCGCGGUCAGACGGAAAGACCCCGUGCACCUUUACUACAGCUUCGCAGUGGCGUUAGUGGCGAUAUGUGUAGGAUAGGCGGGAG
rnacentral:rRNA from 1 species